rnacentral:snRNA from 1 species
AAAAAUUUUCAUUCCCUAAUUUUUAUACAAUAAUAUUGGAAAACUUCAGAGAAGAUUAGUAUGGCCCCUGUGCAAGGA